AAUUACUCUAGCCACCUGCACAAUAAAAAAAUUCUACUUGCUACUAAAUAUUGCAUGGGGGGCUCAAUAAAUCCUACUUAACUUUCUAUAUCUUGCUUAUUUGUAUGAAAGAUGCAAAAAAACAAAUAUGAGUACCAACUUUGGACAUGGUUUGUGACUACGUGGCUGCUAAAAAAAAGACUGGACAUACCCCAUUUUGAUACCCUGGGUUGUCUAUUUUUGCAAAUGGUACACCAUAAAGGGGGUAAUUGUAAUUUCUGGGUUGUCAUACAGUCUCAAAUUUCAAUGUGUAUAAAGCAAAAUGGGCAAGCUCUAUAUUUAACACUCUAACUUUCU